AGAGUUUGAUCAUGGCUCAGAACGAACGUUGGCGGCGUGGAUCAGGCAUGCAAGUCGAACGAAUCCGUGGGGCAACUCAGGGGGAAGUGGCGCCAGGGGCCAAAAGGCAUGGGUAACUUGCCUCGGGGACCGGGAUAGCCAUCCCGGAUGGGUAAUACCGGGCGUCGUGUCCGGAGGGCAUCCUCUGGCCACGCCAGGAGUUUCGCCCCGAGAGAGGCUCAUGUGGUAUUAGCUUGUUGGUGAGGUAACGGCCAACCAAGGCCAAGAUGCCUAGCAGGUGUGAGAGCACGACCUGCGCCACUGGCACUGUGACACUGGCCAGACUCCUACGGGAGGCUGCCAACGAGGAUCUUCGGCAAUGAGCGCAAGCUUGACCGAGCGACGCCGCGUGUGCGAUGAAGGCCUUCGGGUUGUCCGGCACUGUCGAGGGGGAGCCAGGCCGCAAGGCUUGAUCGGCCACUGGAGGAAGCACGGGCUAAGUUCGUGCCAGCAGCCGCGGUAAGACGAACCGUGCGAACGUUGUUCGGAAUCACUGGGCUUCCGGGGCGCGUAGGCGGGUGAUCAAGUCCGAGGUGCCAUCCUGCAGCUCAACUGUAGAAGAGCCACGGAUACUGGUUGUCUCGAGGGAGGUAGGGGCGUGUGGAACUUCCGGUGGAGCGGUGCCAUGCGUAGAUAUCGGAAGGAACGCCGGUGGCGAAAGCGACGCGCUGGACCUCUUCUGACGCUGAGGCGCGCCAGCCAGGGGAGCCAACGGGAUUAGAUACCACGGUAGUCCUGGCCAUCCGCGAUGGGUACCAGGUAGUGGACUUGACAUGGGUUCACUGCCGGAGCCAAAGUGUUCCGAACCACGCCUGGGGAGUAUGGUCGCAAGGCUGCCACUCCGAGGAAUUGACGGGGCUCACACAAGCGGUGGAGCAUGUGGCUUAAUUCGAGGCUACGCGAAGAACCUUAUCCUGGGCUUGACAUGUGCGCCAGCGGCAGGGAGUAGC
rnacentral:rRNA from 1 species